CUCCCGUGUCCUUGGUUGAACUAUUAAACUUUGUUGAGCUGAUAAAUUAAAGAGCAUUUUGAAAUUGUGUACGUCCUUGUCUCCCUGUUGUAUGAAAUAAUAUUCCAGUUAUAAUAUUCUUCAGAGAGCUUUUGUAAAGAAACAGCUUGAGACAUGCUCAUUAUUUGAUUGUCUCUGUGAAAACUCACAAAUAAAGCAAGGUAAAGUCUUUGAAAC